rnacentral:tmRNA from 1 species
GGGGGCGUCCGGUUUCGACGGGGAGUGUAAGGGCAGGGGUAGCGGGCCGAGGUGCUGUGGCCUCGUUAAACUGCAGCAAGCACAUUAAGUGCCGAUAACAAUUACGCUUUAGCUGCUUAAUUUAUAAGUAGCCGUCCAAUCCAGACUUUACCUGGGAGUCCGGUGCGGGCGUCAUUAAACCAGGUUGCUCGCUGGUCAAUUCUCGGAGAUCAGCGCUAAGCUUAUCGAGAUAGCUGAUGCUUAGUUUGUCCGUAAACGACGUAGAAGCGAAAGACCAAUUACGGACUGCGCCCGGAGAGACUACUGUCGUUACCUUUUCGGACGGGGGUUCGACUCCCCCCGCCUCCACCA